rnacentral:siRNA from 1 species
UGCCUGUAAGAUUUAUUCUACUUC